rnacentral:rRNA from 1 species
GGCUCAGGAUGAACGCUAGCGGCAGGCUUAACACAUGCAAGUCGAGGGGCAGCAUGAAGGUUAGCAAUAACCUUUGAUGGCGACCGGCGCAAGGGUGCGUAACGCGUGAGCAACUUGCCCGUUUCAGGGGGAUAACCGUUGGAAACGACGACUAAUACCCCAUGGUGAUGUUAGAGGCAUCUCCUUUCAUCUAAAGAAUUUCGGAAACGGAUAGGCUCGCGUGACAUUAGCUAGAUGGCGGGGUAACGGCCCACCAUGGCGACGAUGUCUAGGGGUUCUGAGAGGAAGGUCCCCCACACUGGAACUGAGACACGGUCCAGACUCCUACGGGAGGCAGCAGUGAGGAAUAUUGGUCAAUGGUCGGAAGACUGAACCAGCCAUGCCGCGUGAAGGUCACGGCCCUAUGGGUCUUAAACUUCUUUUGUAAGGGAGCAAUAAGGUUCACGUGUGGACUGAUGAGAGUACCUUACGAAUAAGCAUCGGCUAACUCCGUG